rnacentral:lncRNA from 1 species
GGGGAUUCAAAGAGUUGGAGGGGGAUUUUUUUUUCCAUUUUUUUUUUUUUUUAAUUCAUUUUUUUAAUUUUUCAAAUUUUUUGAAACAACUGUCAUAUUCCUGACUUGGUACAAGCAUUUUCUUAUUCAGAAAAUAAUGGAUUGAACCUGGUGUUAUAGCUAGCUAAACCUCUCAUUUGUAAGUAAAAGGACAAUGUAUCACUUUGUAUCUAAGAAUUGAACUUAAGACUUUUAACAGAAUACAAAUCAGUGGUUUAAUUAAAGAUACUAGAACACACCCGCGACAUCACAGGUCUGUAACUGAAAUAAAGUU